CACUCUUAAGGUUUCUUCGGUUUCCAGAUCUGGUUCAAUUCGCCGCCACCCGAUCUCCAUCAUCUGGUUCUUCUGAUGGAUGAGAUGAUCAGUCCUCAUGGAUCGAAUGCCUUCAAGUGCCGUUUCACAUUGAAUUGUCCUUAACUCUACAACUUGCUAAUUCAGAGCGAUGAAGUUGCAUGCGAUCUCAACUCUUUCUUGGUCUAAGGCAAUUUCUUGAUUGUGGUGAACAUGAAAUUUGAUGGAGAGCUUAUAUAUUUGACAAAGUAGAGCAACACAUUGGCAAAAUAUUACUUGGGCACAUGGGAAUAAUGGUUAUGGGAACGGAAUUGAGAGCUCAAACUUUCAUUGUGCUUGGAUUUUGGUUCAAUACAUUUUCUUUUCUUUUCUUUGGGAGCUUUUUAUUAAGGAUGGACCGGUGGAUGAACUGAAGCUAGAUUCUCAAAUUCUGAAAAAGCUUCGUUUCUACAAAAAUGGAAACUCUUCCAAUGUCUACCAUGUCAAACACUCAGAAUUUUUGGGUGGGCCUUUGCGGCUUUUCACGAUACUCUACACUUUAUAGUACCGGUCUUCCUAUCUGGAGAUAAUGAGUACAACUGUAAAUGACGUUCAUCUAGUAUUAAAUUACACAAUUUCAAAUUUGUUUACGAUAGAAAUAUAAACUUUACAUUUUCAAACA